UUAUGGUAUGAAAAAAGCCAAGUCAAACCCACCUGUGUACAUUGCAUCCUCAGCAAAGAGCAAGGCAGGUCUCUCCCAUUCUCUAGCACUCCAACCUAUGUGUGGAUUUCUUUUAUAAAUUAUUUCUGGAUGCCUUAUAUUCAAGUUAAGUGGAUUCUGAAAUAUCUGUGCACACAUUAAUCUGUAUCUAAUAUGUGUGUGUACACAUACAGGGACUCCAGGGACAAGUGCUUUCCACCAUUUCCAUCAACCCUCUCCCUUCUAGUCUCUCUGGUUAUUUGUUACUUUCACUUGCUGUUCGUUGUCUUAAAUUAAACUCUAAGCUUGUCCUCACAGGAAUGUCUUUUAUUGUGGGUUGUUGAAAGGUUUUGCAGAGAAACUGGAGCAGCAGAUAGAGCUCUCCAGGCACUACUGAAAUAAUAAUGAAGUAGUUUCACCAAGGUUGGACGAGAGAGCGUUGUCGGCUGCGUCUGAAUUCUGCUUGUCCCUGAAAAUUGCUUAGGUAAUAAGAUAGCUGCUUUAGAAUUGCUGGGGGUAUCCCACAGGAUUCUGCUUUGACUCUGAUUUCCAUUUGCAGCACAUGUUCUGCCAUUUGGCCAGCACCAUCCGCCCGUGUGAGCUAAUUUAAGGUUGCUAAACAGAUGACACAGAACAUACAUCUUUUAUAUUUGAUCUCUGCACUGGUUGGAGCCAGUGCUGCGUGCCUCUGUGAGGAACAACAGGGCCAUCAGCCCAAGGAGCUCACCUGUCAGAGGGACAGCAUCUUCCAGCUCUAGGGUCAUCCCUGCACAGCAGCAGGGUGAGGAGCUGGCUGCCCGCAGCUGGUGCGGGGCUGGUUGGGCUCAGCUCCCGUCCAGGUUGGUGAGUGCUCUGUGCUGUGCUGAGCUCAGCGGCUGGCCAGCCCUCUGCGUCACUUUCUGCCUUCCUUUGUACACAUCAGAGUGUUGACCUACUGACUGUCUUCAUGCUGGGGGGCUUUUCUGUGCCUCUAUCCACUUCAUCAAGGACAGUGCUCAGACAGCCAGCUUUGGGUAUUGCUGUGUUUUACUCUCAGGCCAGUCCCCAUUCCCAACACUAUGUGCCCUCUCUGUGCCUCAGUCUGCCAGCUAUGCUGCUGCAUUUUCUCCCCUUAGUCCCUUCAUGUCUGCCUAGCCUCUUCCAGAGGUACAGAAGAAACAGCCUAGAGACUACACUCAGCAAGGAGAACACUCAGAGCAUCCCACCUUUACCUGCUGUAAGGUGGGAAAAGGUGUCUGUCAGCCCCCAGAAGACGAAAGGCUUCUGGCACUGGCUGGCAGCCCAGCUGGAUCCUGGCAGAGCGGGCAGAGGAGGGAGCUGGCAAGCACUGUUUGCACCCUCUGCACCCAUGCACCCUCCUAGCAUGCCCAGAGGGGAGAAUAUUGUACUACAAGACCAUGGAGACCAUGAAAACUCAAUGCUUCUGGCUGUAUGACAACUUGUAUUGACACUUCAGUUGCUACGGUCACAUAGUCCUCAAAUGACAUCUGCAAGUGAAGGACAACAAAAAGAAGCCUAAACAUGGAUGUCCACAAUAAAAAGUCUUGCUCACACAGACAAAACCUUCUACACAUCCUGCAGCAGCACCAAAGCUCACAGACAGCACUGGGUGGUGCCCUGGAAUGAUGCUGUGUGUUCUAGGUGAAGUUGGUUUGAGGUAGGUGCUAAUUGCAAGUUUAGAAGGUUUGUCCAAAUUUUCAACAGUGUAAUACCAUGCCAGCAUGAAAAUCUGUUUAUUUCUUGUGCAAGUCAGCAAGUAACUUCUGACGUGUUGGGUAAGAGCCAGACAGUGUCAGUAAGAGGCACAGUGAGGUGUGUGUCCCUCCCACCUCUCCUGAAGUGCUCCCCACCUUGGUCAAAAGCCAAGGCGUGCCAGGCGUGGUGGGGUUCUUGUCCUGACUCCUCCUCAUGGCACCUGCCGGGGGCUGGAUGCCUGUUGUACAUUAACAUGUACUGUGGAAGAAAGGUCAUGUGUGCAACCUGGAGAAAAAACAGAACACCAAAAAAAACUCACUGAGUCAUCUGUGCUAAGUGUGUCAGGCCUGAGCUGACCCAGUUUUCUGUGGAAUUAUUAAGGGCAGGGUCAUCCCAUGGGGUGAAAUGCUGCUACAAAGGAUGCUGUGGUGCUACACACAAGAGAUGGAUUAGCAAGAUCCGUGUUACAAGGCCUUGAUUUGUCUGUCAUCUGAUCCUUUUUAAAUAUGCUGUCAAGGAAGUUGAUUUCAAAAUGAUCUCUGUAUUGUUUGGGUCUGCUUUGGUGUAGCAUGACAUUCAGGAUUCCUUUGCAGGCAACUGUGCAGAGCAGGGAAAUCUAUGUGAAAUGCUUCCUACUGGAGUCACCAUCUGGCCAAUAUUCAUCUUGUUUAGUGAAAUACCAAGAUAUCCGUAGAACGCAGGUGUUAAUGCUGAUCAUAAGGCACAAGUGACCGCAGUAAUAAACCAACAUGCAAUGAAAUGUAAUUAAUGCACCUGGUGCUUGGGUUUGAAAAAAAAUUUCAGUGCCUUUUUAUUUUCCCUGCAAACUGAGUGCAUUUUCAUAGUUGGAAUUUCAAUCAUCAGUUCUCAACCAACCCUUUAAUCAUAUUAAUUCUCUUAAAAAGUGAACUAUAAUGUUUUUUAGUAAACAAUAUUUCAUAAUUCAGUCAGCAGGAGCAAAGUGCAAACACACAUGAAACUAUAUAUUGCUUAGUAAUAUUUUUGUGGCAUGAAAAAACUCUUGUCCUCUUUCUGUCAGUCUGGUUCUGCUGCUGGCAAAGAUUUGUUUUCAGUCAUGUAAGCCUUGUCGAUAUGUUCCAAGUGUUUUUGAACCAGCUGGAACAAGUGAAAAGAUCCCAGGAAAAAAAAUAAAUUAUUAAAAUUUCUAUCA